UUCCGCCAGAACAUUACAAGUGAAAAGCUUAAAAUUCAAAGGACUUGGCGGUGUCCCACCUCGACCUAGAGGAGCCUGUCCUAUAAUCGAUACCCCCCGCUCAACCUGACCUCCACUAGCACACUCCAGCCUAUAUACCGCCGUCGACAGUCUACCCCAUGAGGGGAAAAUAGUAGACUAAAUAGCAACCACAUCGCUAAUACGUCAGGUCAAGGUGUAGCAAAUGUUGAGGGAGUGAUUGGCUACAUUUUUUAUCAUAAAAUAAACGAAAUACAACAUGAAAUCAUGUACNAAGGUGAAUUUAGAUAGUAAAGUGGGUUAGAGUACCCACUUUAACAUCGCUCUGGGACGCNCACACACCGCCCGU
rnacentral:rRNA from 1 species